GGAGGUGUGGCCGAGUGGUUUAAGGCAGCGGUCUUGAAAACCGCCGUCCCGAGAGGGACCGUGGGUUCGAAUCCCACCGCCUCCG
rnacentral:tRNA from 1 species